CAAGCUGUUUCAGUGAUGAUUUCCGGGUGCCACCGGGAGCAGUGUCUCACUUAUGAAAGGAAACAAAAGCAAUCCCUGUGCCUGAAUUGACAUUUGAACAUAAAUAGAAAGCUGGGGAUCGGUCGAAUAAUACUGGCAUUUCACAGAAACCAUCCACAUGUGAAUUAAAGCAUAAUCUGAUCGAUUUGCUUCAAGUCCACAGCGGGAAACACGCAUGCCCAUGCAAAGAAAGCGAACCAACAAUCUUAUGCGUUACAUCUCGGUGUUUACACGUUGAAGUUCCGCCUAAAAUGCGCAGACUGCGAUGGCCGGGAAGCGAGCCCGAGUCAACUGCUUGGAAGGCAGUUACGCUCACCACUAUACCACCAUUGCGACGCCAGCGCCCCCCCGCUCGGGGCUCCCGAAACAGACUCACUAUGGCUCUAUGGAGACAAAUUGAAUGCUGUUUAAUAUCAAAACAGAAAACCCUGGCAAAGAUCAACAGAUUUGGCGGCAGAGGCCUGACAUCUCUCACUUCAACAGACACAAUCACUGAACACUAAUCGUUCAUUCUGCCUUCUGCCCGCAGAUGCUUUCGGAUCGCCUGCUUUUCUGCAGAUUUUUCUGCCUUUUCUUUCAGAUCUUCAGCGCCCUCAUUUCUUUGUCUUCAACACAUCUGAUGUUCGUCCACUGAAUCGGAUUUUAACGUCAGCUCAGAAGAACUCAUUCGUCCUGGCAGACGUGAAGGAACACUUGAAAUCGCUGAGCGAUCUGGGCAGUUGUCGACCUUUUGACCAGCAGUCCACAUAUUCAAACUGGUAGCUGACACAGCACGCGCCUUCAUGCUGGAUCAUUAAACAUACAGACGAUGGCAGUGGAGCUGAGAUAACAAGGUGUAGAGCUGGAUGAAGACUGAAGGCCAAGCAGCAUCAGAGGAGCAGGAAGGCUGACCUUUCGGGACUUGACCCUUUUUCGGAUAAAAGAGCUGAAGCAGACUGGAAGCUGUGCGAUAUUUCGAAUGGGAAAUAACAGGGUUCAUGUGAUAACAUCCUAUCAGUUUGUCCCAUCUGAGUCAUAACUAGCAAUAGAUUCACUGAGGAUCGAGGGGUUUGUGAUCGGAGGGGAGCGUCCCAAUAUUUGUCUACCUGACUCGACUGCUCCUGUUCUGUUCGGAAGUAUUCACACUCCCAAGAAAGGUGCUUAUCGCAGUAAAGGCCGCUUUACCAGCAUUUAUCAUCGUUUGAACGAGAGCUGAUGUUCGGAGUAAUGUCAUUGCCAAAUGAUUCCUUUCCAAUAUAUCAACAAUUAAUAUGGGUGUACGGGUCCUCCUCGAAUCUGUAAACGUCAUUGAACCGAAGUGUAGGGGCCUGUACUUGUCAAAAUUUGAGGAUGUCAUCAGCCACAUCAAAGACUCUCAACACGUUGUAAGAAUAUGGCCUAAACACAAAACUCGCCUAUUGUUAAAGACAGGUACAAGGAAUGGUGAUCAAGACGCGGUUCAGUUUGCUCCAAAUUCACAGGCUUGAAGCAGAUUUUUCUGUCUUUUUCAGAUCUUCAGUGCCUCGGUUCUUUGACUUUAAACACGGCUGAUGUUCAAACACCGAAACGCAUAUUAACGUCAGCUCAGAAGAACUCUUUCUUUCUGGCAGACGUUAAGGAACAAUUACAAUCGCUGCGCGAUCUGGAUCGUUGUCGACGUUUUGCUCUGCAGUCCACAAGUUCAUCGUUUUUUUAUGCUAAAUGGCCUCUAUCGAACUGGUAUCCGAAACAUCACGCGCCUUCAUGCUGGAUCAUUAAACAUACAGACGAUGGCAUUGGAGCUGAGAUAACAAGGUGUGGAGCUGGAUGAUCACAGAAGGCCAAGCAGCAUCAGAGGUGCAGGAAGGCUGACCUUUCGGGCCUAGACCCUUCUUCCGAAAAAAUGCAGUGGAGCUGAUGCAGGCUGGAAGCUGUGCGAUAUUUUGAUUAGGCAAUAGCAGUGUAUUCAUGUGAUAAUAUCUCUCAGUUUGUCUCAUAUGAGCCAUAACUAACAAUAUAUUCACUGUGGAUUGAGAAGUUUGUGAACGGAGCGGUUUGUCCCAAUUGCUGUGUAUCCGACUCGCCAGCUCCCGUUCUGUUACGUAGAAUUCAGUCUCCUGGGAAAGGUGCUGACCGCAGGUCCAGCAGAACAUCUCCAAGACUACAUGACAGCAGGUGCUGCUCACUGAUUCGUACCUCCAGUGUACAGCGAAAAUGAAGAAGGGAGCAUCAACAUUUGAUGAUGGAGAACAUUAUACAAGGUCUACACCAGGUUGAUAUUUAUCUGGAUGAGGUGCUAAUAACAGAGGAAGACAAAUGAAGAGCACUUGGAGAGCUUGGACAUAGUACUUACAUGUUUCUCCUAAGUGGGCAUACACCUUAGAAGGGAAAAUGUGUGUUUAAGGCACCCCAAGUGACCUACUUGGGCUACAGAGUCAUCAAGAGGGAGUUACACCUAUUGGAAGAUAAAGUGAGGGCAGCAAAGGUGCCCACCUCCCAUGUCUGUACCAGAGCCUAGGUCUUUCCUUAGGUUUGUGAAUUAUUACAGAAAAUUCAUACAUAACCUGGCCUCCAUCUUGGUGCUAUUGAAAAACAGUCAGACUUGGAAAUGGUCAUGUAGCCAAGAAGUAGCCUUCAAGGAAGUGAAAAAGCAGCCAUAAUCAUCUAAGGCAUUGGCCUACCACAAUCCAAAGAGAGAGAUGAUGACUUGCAAUGCCUCCCCGUAUGGUAUUGGAGUAGUAUUGGCUCAUCAGUGGCCCAAGGGAGAGGGAUGCCCAAUAGCGGAUGCUUCCUGGACUUUGCUGAUGCCAAACGCAAAUAUGCCCAGAAGGAGAAUGAAGGUUAGGCGGUCAUCUUUGGUGUGAGGAAAUUCCACCAAUACUUUAGUAGAUGGGAAUUCAUCAAAAUAACAGACCACAAACUGGUGCUUAAAGAAGACUAGGCAGUGCUGCGGGCACCGAAAGCAACUGGUGAAGUAGCUGAGAGCGGGAUGGUGAGAUCAGGCCAGUGAGGCAGCCCGGAGUGUGGUGCUUGGUGUGGCCUGGAAAGUCUGGAGCAGGGCUGCAGCAGUAGAAAGGAGAGUUGGACUCUCUGAAGUUAUCUUUUUUUUUCCUUUCCUUAUUCUAAGUUAAUGUGAAUGGUGCCAAAUAUGUAUGGCGGAGGCGUACACUUUUUGUUGUAUUUUUUACAUUAAAUACGUGACAACAAGUGAUUUAAUUCAAUUUGAAUUCAGCAGUGGGCUCUUAUUCUCCGUGCAUACAAGAACAAGUUGGAACACCAUCCAGGUGGCAAGUGGCUAAUUCAGAUGCAUUGAGCCACCUCCUACUGGCCGAUAAACCACCAAUGGUGCCUCCCCUGGAAGAAUCUGUUCUGCUUUUAAACUUUCUGGCCACCCCUGACAAUAUGCAACUGUGGAUGUGAACAGAUCCCAUCCUGGUAAAACUAAAACAGCUGAUGGUAAUGGGAAGAAGCAGAAGAGCCAUUGCAACCAGGAUUGAAACCUUUCUGGACCUGGCGAGACAGAUCACCAUACAGGUUGACAUACUACUGUGGGAAGGAAGGCUGAUUGUCCCAAGUAAAGUCUCGUGCCAGACACUGCCUGAAUUCCACCAGGCUCAUCCAGGGUCUCCAAAAUAAAAAUGUUGGCAAGAAGUUAUGUCUUGUAGCCAGAAUUGGUUGCUAACAUUGCUGCGGUGGUGAGGCUGUGCCCAGAUUGCCAACAAGACAAAAACUGCUACUGUCAAUUUAUGGGAAUGACUGGAUAAACCCUGGACCUGGUUACAUGUUGACUAUGUGGUUCUUUCAUAGGUUCAAUGUUCUUAGUCAUUGUGGAUGCCCAUUCAAAGUGGUUGAACAUGUAUACAAUUCACUCAAGAAGGCGACUGAAAAGCUGAGAGCGUAAUUUGUGAUGCACAUACUCCCGAAAGUUUUGGUCACAGGCAAUGGGACAUCAUUUACCAGCAGAGAAUUUGAGUAUUUCCUAAAUUCGAAUGGCAUUAGGCAUAUGACGGCAACUCCAUACCUUCCAUCAUCCAAAGGUCUAGCAGAAAGAGCAGUCCAAACAUUGAAGGCAGGCUUAGAGAAAUAGCCUACAGCUUCACUUGAUAUCAAGCUGCCCCAGUUCCUGUUCGUUAAACUAAAAUCAUAUGCCUCUGCCAUCUUAACCUCAUCAAAAAUCCCAAUAUGAACUCUCCUGGUUCUCGAAGUAAAACUGACAGCAUCUCAGAAUUAGAGGAGGCUCCUUAACCACAUCUGUCAACUCUUGAAAGGUUUUAGUGUCUGAUGCCUCAGGAAAAGUUAUGCUCCAUAUAAGCAAAAGAAAAAACACUGCCGGUCUACAUGCUGGCAGGAGAAUUGCUUGUAGCUUUUUAUCUGCCCUAACGUCAUUUGCCCGGAAAACAUAAUGCAUUCUUUCCACAUACUGGGCCCAGUCUUUGGCAACUGGAUCAAACAUGUCAAGCUUUCCAAAUAGUGACAUGAUGCCAGAAAUGCUUACCCAAACUCAAAGACAACUGUUGCAAGUGAAUCUUUUCAGGGCGUGCUUUUCUCUUGUCACCACUGAACUAACUCCAUUAAGGCUAGUAACACAUCACCGUUUGUUUACACAUGCAUAGUACACGAUACUGAUGCAGCCGGAUCAGUCUCGUGUACUAUGCCGGCUCCUCAAGUCAGCAGAACUCCUGGCACUCCUGUUUAUAUCUGUCAGCCAGGACUCACUGCUUGGACCAAGUUAACAACCCCAAUUAGGGAACUCAUAUUCUAUGAGGCCCGCGACUGACCUUGUUCCAAUCACAGCAGUGCACUUCGAACUUUUGCCUUACACUUAUUGGGACAGAAUGCAGUAGCAAACCACAAAGGGAACAACAAUUUAAACUGCAUGUGAAGUAAAUUCUCAUUGGUUGAGGUGUUGCCAUGGAGAAACCACCAGGGACAGUUAUCUGCCCAGCUUUUGUUUAAAUUUGAACCAGGUCAGCCAACUUGGAAUCCUCAGGGCAUCACCAUGGGGAGUGGACCAGGAAAUGGUUGACUCCCCCAAGCUUUUGUCUGGUAUAAGCAAGCUAUAUAGCAAGCUUGACUGAUAUUCUUAAAUUGAUUGUUAGUUCAAUUCCAAGUAAAGUUGGGGUUGUUGAGCAAAAAGUAUAAGAAGGAAAGCAAAGCUGGAAAUCUGACGUUUCCUUGUAUUAACCCAACUGAGAUGAUUGCUACAU